ACAAACUUGGUCAUUUAGAGGAAGUAAAAGUCGUAACAAGGUUUCCGUAGGUGAACCUGCGGAAGGAUCAUUAUUGAAACAAACAACGGUAGUUGGUUGUCGCUGGCCUCUCUCUGAGGCAUGUGCACGCCUUCGACCGACAAUCAAUCUCACCUCUGUGCACCUUUGCGUGGGUCCAUGAAGGUUUUGUUGACCGACUGGGCCUGCGUUUUUCCACACACCUCUGAAUGCAUGUAUGUGAAUGUCUUCCGUGCAGUGUCUCUGUACGAAUAAAAGUAUAACUUUCAACAACGGAUCUCUUGGCUCUCGCAUCGAUGAAGAACGCAGC
rnacentral:misc_RNA from 1 species